rnacentral:rRNA from 1 species
GAGCGGCAGCAGGUCCUUCGGGAUGCUGGCGAGCGGCGGACGGGUGAGUAACGCGUGGGAAUCUGCCCAUCGGUGGGGGAUAGCCCGAGGAAACUCGGAUUAAUACCGCAUACGCCCUUCGGGGCAAAGUGGACCUCUGAUUCAAGUUCAUGCCGAUGGAUGAGCCCGCGGCCGAUUAGCUAGUUGGUGGGGUAAAGGCCUACCAAGGCGACGAUCGGUAGCUGGUCUGAGAGGACGAUCAGCCACACCGGAACUGAGACACGGUCCGGACUCCUACGGGAGGCAGCAGUGGGGAAUAUUGGACAAUGGGCGAAAGCCUGAUCCAGCAAUGCCGCGUGGGUGAAGAAGGCUUGCGGGUUGUAAAGCCCUUUCAGCAGGGAGGAAAAGCAUUCGGUUAAUACCCGGGUGUCUUGACGUUACCUGCAGAAGAAGCACCGGCUAACUCCGUGCCAGC